rnacentral:rRNA from 1 species
GUCCACGCUGUAAACGAUGAAAACUAGAUGUUGGUAGGGGAACCUAUCGGUAUCGAAGCUAACGCGAUAAGUUUUCCGCCUGGGAAGUACGGCCGCAAGGUUGAAACUCAAAGGAAUUGACGGGGCCGCACAAGCGGUGGAGCAUGUGGUUUAAUUCGAUGCAACGCGAAGAACCUUACCUACUUUUGACAUCCUGCGAAUCUGGCUGAGAGGCUGGAGUGCCGAAAGGAACGCAGAGACAGGUGCUGCAUGGCUGUCGU